rnacentral:rRNA from 1 species
GACCGUGCAAAGGUAGCAUAAUCAUUUGCCUUAUAAUUGAAGGCUAGUAUGAAUGGUUUGACGAGAAUUAAGCUGUCUCUUUUUAACUAAAUAUAACUUUAUUAAUAGGUGAAGAAGCCUAUAUUUUAUUGAAAGACAAGAAGACCCUAUCGAGCUUUAAAGAAUUUGGUGGAUUUACCAUAUAUUUAUAAAAAAGUAAUUCUACCAAGAAUUUUGGUUGGGGCGACUGAGGAACAAACAAAGCUUCCUUUAUAACUAAAAAAUUAACAGGUAUAGAUCCAGCAAGUCUGAUUAAAGAAAUUAGUUACCGUAGGGAUAACAGCAUAAUCUUCUUUGAGAGCUCUUAUCGAAAAGGAGGUUUGUGACCUCGAUGUUGGACCAGAAUAUCCCGAAGAUGCAGCCGUCUUCAAUGGUUGGUCUGUUCGACCAUUAAAAUUCUACGUGAUCUGAGUUCAGACCGGCGUGAGCCAGGUCAGUUUCUAUCUUCAAUUUUUUAAAAUGACCUUAGUACGAAAGGACCAGGUUGUUACAAAAGCGCGUGUAAUACUUUGAUUAAAUAUAAAGAAUAGUUGAAUAUAUAAACAUCAAAUUAGCAAAGAUUAAUGCAAUUGACUUAGGAUCAAUAGACAUAGGUGAAACCCCUUUAUUUGAUAAAUAAAGAUGGCAGAAAAA